rnacentral:rRNA from 1 species
UGGUGGCGAGCGGCGGACGGGUGAGUAAUGCCUAGGAAUCUGCCUGGUAGUGGGGGAUAACGCUCGGAAACGGACGCUAAUACCGCAUACGUCCUACGGGAGAAAGCAGGGGACCUUCGGGCCUUGCGCUAUCAGAUGAGCCUAGGUCGGAUUAGCUAGUUGGUGAGGUAAUGGCUCACCAAGGCGACGAUCCGUAACUGGUCUGAGAGGAUGAUCAGUCACACUGGAACUGAGACACGGUCCAGACUCCUACGGGAGGCAGCAGUGGGGAAUAUUGGACAAUGGGCGAAAGCCUGAUCCAGCCAUGCCGCGUGUGUGAAGAAGGUCUUCGGAUUGUAAAGCACUUUAAGUUGGGAGGAAGGGCAUUUACCUAAUACGUAAGUGUUUUGACGUUACCGACAGAAUAAGCACCGGCUAACUCUGUGCCAGCAGCCGCGGUAAUACAGAGGGU